GAUGGGAAAGAUUCAGGAGAUGGCAAACAAAACACCGCCGACAUGACACAGUUUGUUCAAACUCUUCUCCAGCAAAUGCAAAACAGAUUCCAAACAAUGUCAGACUCCAUUGUUUCAAAGA